UUUAUCCUUCGGGGCAGGGUGAAAUUCCCUACCGACGGUGAUGCCAUAUAAUUGAUCAUACGAAUGAAGAUGAUAUGGCUUAGUCCGUGACCCACACGCUGUUGUUUGAGGCGUAUGGUUGAUCUGGUGAAAUUCCAGGACCGACAGUAUAGUCUGGAUGGGAGAAGGAGAGC
rnacentral:ncRNA from 2 species